AAGGGGCUCAUCAGCCAGCUGGAGGCCAAAAAGGUUUCUGGUUCAAACUCCAACCUGUAAACGUGCCAAUAAUCUACCCACAAGCCAGCCUGCAUGAUUAUGUAGGUUGGAUGUGAUGCUACAGUUUCUUACAGAAAACUAAUUUUCUUCAUGUAAAUGAAGCAUUUUUAUUUUGGUUGUCAUAUGGAACAACAGAUAUAUUUUUUUUAAAGAUACGAUACUGAAAGUUCAACCAUCAACUUUAUUUCUAUUGUAGUUUGAACUGACCUUAGAAAGUAACUAAUGUAAAAGACAACUGUCUUCCAAAUCCACAAGUGUCAUCUUUAUCCUAUAAGCUAUAACUGUUGCAAUUGCUCCUGUAAUACCUUAAAUGUUUUUAUUUGAUUAUAUUUAAAGUCUUAUUUUACCCAGAAGUAUUUUAAUCCAUUCAGAAGUUUCUUGUCCAUUUGUGUGUAUGUUUGAACCAGUGUAUUGCUUACAAAAUAAAGCUCAUUACUUCUAAAAUUCC